GGGAUUGUGGCUCAGUUGGUUAGAGCGUUGGUCUCAUAACAUGACCCGGUGUCAAAAACACCGAGACAUCCAAAGGUCGUGAGUUCGAAUCUCACCAGUCCCA